rnacentral:rRNA from 1 species
UAGGGAAUCUUCGGCAAUGGACGAAAGUCUGACCGAGCAACGCCGCGUGAGUGAAGAAGGUUUUCGGAUCGUAAAACUCUGUUGUUAGAGAAGAACAAGGACGUUAGUAACUGAACGUCCCCUGACGGUAUCUAACCAGAAAGCCACGGCUAACUACGUGCCAGCAGCCGCGGUAAUACGUAUGUGGCAAGCGUUGUCCGGAUUUAUUGGGCGUAAAGCGAGCGCAGGCGGUUUCUUAAGUCUGAUGUGAAAGCCCCCGGCUCAACCGGGGAGGGUCAUUAGAAACUGUGAGACUUGAGUGCAGAAGAGGAAAGUGGAAUUCCAUGUGUAGCGGUGAAAUGCGUAGAUAUAUGGAGGAACACCAGUGGCGAAGGCGGCUCUCUGGUCUGUAACUUACGCUGAGGCUCGAAAGCGUGGGGAGCAAACAGG